rnacentral:rRNA from 1 species
UACGGGGGGGGCAAGCGUUGUUCGGAAUUACUGGGCGUAAAGGGCUCGUAGGCGGCCAACUAAGUCAGACGUGAAAUCCCUCGGCUUAACCGGGGAACUGCAUCUGAUACUGGAUGGCUUGAGAUUGGGAGAGGGAUGCGGAAUUCCAGGUGUAGCGGUGAAAUGCGUAGAUAUCUGGAGGAAUACCGGUGGCGAAGGCGGCAUCCUGGACCGGCAUUGACGCUGAGGCGCGAAAGCCAGGGGAGCAAACGGG